rnacentral:lncRNA from 1 species
AAAAGAAGAAGAACAAGGAAGGUUUUCAUCUGCCUGCUUUAACAGGACACCAUUCCAGCCUGUACUCUGCACUUCUCCCUGUUUACAGCAGCAGAUAACACCUGGCUGACUAGAGAGGUAUGUAAGAAGCAGUCCAAUACAGCCAGUGUAAAUCAGUGUCAUUCCCUCCAAACAAGCAGAGCUACACUGAUUUACACCAGCUGAGGCUCCAGCUGAAGACGAUCAUAAAUUUUAUGGUGGAUUUCGACUUCGGACUUCCUCCUUUUUCAAGGAUAUGUGUGAUGAGUGCUACUCCUUUUCAUAAGCUGUGGGAAGUCCUUUGAAUGGUGGUCACCAGAAACAAAGACAUGAGGGAGUACAGCAGAGUCUUGGCUGCUUGGUGUCAAGCCUGAGAAACCCUGUGAGAAAUAAGAAGUCUGCAGAAACUCCUACUCCAUUUCUCUUAUAUGUUGUCCUCCUGCAUUUCUCCUGAGAAUGCAAUGGAAGGAAUGAAAAGACAUUGUGCUGGCUCUUAAGGCUGGAAACUGCUGUGAGAAGUGGGAAGAGAAAGUAAGCCCAGAAGAAGACAAGAGAGAUGUAAUGUAAAGGCUGGACUACAGUCACCCUCUACCCACUGAAAUAUUUCUCAGGUGUAAAGCAAAAUAGCUAAGCAGUGUAAUAUCACAUUAAGGAAGUAAGCAUACAACAUAUUUUUCCUUGGAAGAAUUUAACUUAAAAAUCUCAAUCUCUCAUACUAUCUCAAAUAAAUCUAAUAACAAUUUUUCUAUUAGUUUUCUC